UACGGAAGGGGCAAGCGUUGUUCGGAAUCAUUGGGCGUAAAGGGCGCGUAGGUGGUCUUGUAUGUCUACCGUGAAAGCGUACGGCUCAACCGUAUUUAGUCGGUAGAAACUGCAGGACUUGAGGCUGGGAGGGGCUGGUGGAAUUCCCUGUGUAGCGGUGAAAUGCGUAGAGAUGGGGGAGAACACUCGUGGCGAAGGCGGCCAGCUGGACCAGUUCUGACACUGAGGCGCGAUAGCGUGGGGAGCAAACAGG
rnacentral:rRNA from 1 species